AGUGAACGCUGGCGGUAGGCCUAACACAUGCAAGUCGAACGGCAGCACAGUAAGAGCUUGCUCUUACGGGUGGCGAGUGGCGGACGGGUGAGGAAUACAUCGGAAUCUACUUUUUCGUGGGGGAUAACGUAGGGAAACUUACGCUAAUACCGCAUACGACCUACGGGUGAAAGCAGGGGAGCUUCGGACCUUGCGCGAUUGAAUGAGCCGAUGUCGGAUUAGCUAGUUGGCGGGGUAAAGGCCCACCAAGGCGACGAUCCGUAGCUGGUCUGAGAGGAUGAUCAGCCACACUGGAACUGAGACACGGUCCAGACUCCUACGGGAGGCAGCAGUGGGGAAUAUUGGACAAAGGGCGCAAGCCUGAUCCAGCCAUACCGCGUGGGUGAAGAAGGCCUUCGGGUUGUAAAGCCCUUUUGUUGGGAAAGAAAAGCAGCAGGUUAAUACCCCGCUGUUCUGACGGUACCCAAAGAAUAAGCACCGGCUAACUUCGUG
rnacentral:rRNA from 1 species